UGGGGAAUUUUGGACAAUGGGCGAAAGCCUGAUCCAGCAAUGCCGCGUGUGUGAAGAAGGCCUUCGGGUUGUAAAGCACUUUUGUCCGGAAAGAAAUCCUUGGCUCUAAUACAGUCGGGGGAUGACGGUACCGGAAGAAUAAGCACCGGCUAACUACGUGCCAGCAGCCGCGGUAAUACGUAGGGUGCAAGCGUUAAUCGGAAUUACUGGGCGUAAAGCGUGCGCAGGCGGUUUGCUAAGACCGAUGUGAAAUCCCCGGGCUCAACCUGGGAACUGCAUUGGUGACUGGCAGGCUAGAGUAUGGCAGAGGGGGGUAGAAUUCCACGUGUAGCAGUGAAAUGCGUAGAGAUGUGGAGGAAUACCGAUGGCGAAGGCAGCCCCCUGGGCCAAUACUGACGCUCAUGCACGAAAGCGUGGAGAGCAAACAGGAUUAGAUACCCUGGUAGUCCACGCCCUAAACGAUGUCAACUAGUUGUUGGGGCAUUCAUUUUCCUUAGUAACGUAGCUAACGCGUGAAGUUGACCGCCUGGGGAGUACGGUCGCAAGAUUAAAACUCAAAGGAAUUGACGGGGUCAUAGCUGUUCCU
rnacentral:rRNA from 1 species